rnacentral:rRNA from 1 species
AUACGGAGGAUCCAAGCGUUAUCCGGAUUUAUUGGGUUUAAAGGGUGCGUAGGCGGACUGGUAAGUCAGUUGUGAAAGUUUGCGGCUCAACCGUAAAAUUGCAGUUGAUACUGGCUGUCUUGAGUACAGUAGAGGUGGGCGGAAUUCGUGGUGUAGCGGUGAAAUGCUUAGAUAUCACGAAGAACUCCGAUUGCGAAGGCAGCUCACUGGACUGCAACUGACACUGAUGCUCGAAAGUGUGGGUAUCAAACAGGAUUAGAUACCCUGGUAGUCCACACAGUAAACGAUGAAUACUCGCUGUUUGCGAUAUACAGUAAGCGGCCAAGCGAAAGCAUUAAGUAUUCCACCUGGGGAGUACGCCGGCAACGGUGAAACUCAAAGGAAUUGACGGGG